rnacentral:tRNA from 1 species
CCACCGGUAGCCCAAUUGGCAGAGGCGGCGCGUUUAGACCGCGCUUAGUGGGGGUUCAAAUCCCUCCCGGUGGA